AGAGACAGCAGUAGCCGCGGGAAUACAGAGGGUGCAAGCGUUAAUCGGAUUUACUGGGCGUAAAGGGCGCGUAGGUGGUUAUUUAAGUGAGAUGUGAAAGCCCCGGGCUUAACCUGGGAACUGCAUCUUAUACUGGGUAACUGGAGUGCAGUAGAGGGUAGUGGAAUUUCCGGUGUAGCGGUGAAAUGCGUAGAUAUCGGAAGGAACACCAGUGGCGAAGGCGGCUACCUGGACUGAGACUGACACUGAGGCGCGAGAGCGUGGGGAGCAAACAGGAUUAGAUACCCGUGUAGUCCCUGUCUCUUAUAC
rnacentral:rRNA from 1 species